ACUCAAAUGAAUUGACGGAAGUCCGCACAAGCGGUGGAACAUGUGGUUUAAUUCGAUACAACACGCAAAAUCUUACCAGUUCUUGAGAUGUAUGACGAUUGAAGGUUUAAGACCUUUAAGUUUUUUAUUAAAAAAUUUGUCUAUACAGGUGUUGCAUGGUUGUCGUCAGCUCGUGUUGUGAAAUGUCAGGUUAAUUUCGGUAACGAGCGGAACCCUUAUUUAUUCUUUUUAAUAGGAAUGAAAACUGCCAAUGAAAUAUUGGAGGAAGGUGAGGAUGACGUCAAAUCAGUAUGGCCUUUAUGAACUGGGCUACACACGUGUUACAAUGGUUAUAGCAAAGGAUAGCAAUAAUGUGAAUUGGAGCAAUAUCAUUAAAUAUAAUCUUAGUUCGGAUUGUUCCCUGAAACUCGGGAACAUGAAGUCGGAAUCGCUAGUAAUCGCAAAUCAGCAAGUUGUGGUGAAUUAGGUUACGGGCUUAGUACACACCGCCCGU
rnacentral:rRNA from 1 species